rnacentral:rRNA from 1 species
GACGAACGCUGGCGGCGUGCUUAACACAUGCAAGUCGAACGGAAAGGCCCUGCUUGCAGGGUACUCGAGUGGCGAACGGGUGAGUAACACGUGGGUGAUCUGCCCUGCACUUCGGGAUAAGCUUGGGAAACUGGGUCUAAUACCGGAUAGGAACCAUCUUUAGUGUGGUGGUUGGAAAGUUUUUUCGGUGUAGGAUGAGCUCGCGGCCUAUCAGCUUGUUGGUGGGGUAAUGGCCUACCAAGGCGGCGACGGGUAGCCGGCCUGAGAGGGUGUACGGCCACAUUGGGACUGAGAUACGGCCCAGACUCCUACGGGAGGCAGCAGUGGGGAAAAUUGCACAAUGGGCGCAAGCCUGAUGCAGCGACGCCGCGUGGGGGAUGAAGGCCUUCGGGUUGUAAACUCCUUUCGCUAGGGACGAAGCUUUGUUGUGACGGUACCUAGAUAAGAAGCACCGGCUAACUACGUG